GAUGAACGCUGGCGGCGUGCCUAACACAUGCAAGUCGAACGGAGGCCAGCCUUUAAGACCUGCGGGUCAAAGAGGGGAAGACUGAGUGGCGGACGGGUGAGUAACACGUGGGCAACCAGGCUCAUAGAGGGGGAUAAAAGAGAGAAAACUCUGCUAAUACCGCAUAAGCACACACUGCCGCAUGGCAGCGGGGGAAAAGAGAAGCGCGAUGAGAUGGACCCGCGUCUGAUAAGCCAGCUGGCAGGGCAAGAGCCGACCAAAGCGACGCUCAGAAGCCGGAACCGGAGGCUGAGCCGCCACUUCGGGACUGGGACACGGCCCAGACUCCUACACGAGGCAGCAGUGGGGGAUAUUGCACUAUGGGGGGAACCCUGAUGCUGCGCCGCCGCGUGAGCGACUAAGUUUUUCAGUAUGGACAGCUCUAUCAGCAGGGACGAUAAUGACGGUACCUGAAUAAUAAGCCCCGGCUAACUACGUG
rnacentral:rRNA from 1 species